rnacentral:rRNA from 1 species
AGGUCAAGCGAACAAGGGCGCAGGGCGAAUGCCUUGGCACUGGGAGCCGAUGAAAGACGUGAUAAGCUGCGAUAAGCUUCGGGGAGCUGCAAAUAAGCAUUGAUCCGGAGAUUUCUGAAUGAGGAAACUCACCUGGGUUCAUACUCAGGUACGUUAUACUGAACUUAAAAAUAGGUAUAUCGAGGGAACCGCCUGAACUGAAACAUCUAAGUAGGGCGAGGAAGAGACAUCAAACGAGAUUCCGUAAGUAGUGGCGAGCGAACGCGGAAGAGGGCAAACCGGGAGUAGAAAUACUUCCGGGGUACGGACUGCUUUUAGGACUUAAUCUGUUAACCGAACGGCAUGGGAAGGCCGGUCAGAGAGUGUGAGAACCACGUAGGUGAAAACGGAGAGAGCUGCGCAGGAUCCAGAGUACGGCCAGACACGUGAAACCUGGUCGGAAUACGGGGGGACCACCCUCCAACCCUAAAUACUACCCAGUGACCGAUAGCGUAUAGUACUGUGAAGGAAAGGUGAAAAGCACCCCGGGAGGGGAGUGAAAAAGAACCUGAAACCCUGUGCCUACAAGCACCUAGAGCACGUCAAUGUGUGAUAGGGUACUUUUUGUAGAACGGUCCGGCGAGCGAUUGUAUGCAGCAAGGUUAAGGACUUAAGGUCUGGAGCCGAAGCGAAAGCGAGUUUGAAAAGGGCGUUAAGUUGCAUACAAUGGGCCCGAAACCGGGUGACCUACCCAUGGUCAGGUUGAAGUGGAAGUAAAAUUCCAUGGAGGACCGAACCGACCUCCGUUGAAAAGGCGGCGGAUGAACUGUGGGUAGCGGAGAAAUUCCAAUCGAACCCGGAGAUAGCUGGUUCUCCCCGAAAUAGUUUUAGGACUAGCCUCAAGUUAGAUACCUGGAGGUAAAGCACUGAAUAGCCUAGCGGCCGAGAGGUUAGCGAAGCUUAUCAAACUCAGAAUGCCAGAGUAUUGAUGCUUGGGAGUCAGACAGUGUCAGAUAAAUGUCAUUGUCAAAAGGGAAACAGCCCAGAUCUACAGCUAAGGUCCCAAAGUCAGGUUAAGUGGAAAACGAUGUGAAGAUACGUAGACAACCAGGAUGUUGGCUCAGAAGCAGCCACACAUUCAAAGAGUGCGUAAUAGCUCACUGGUCGAGCGUCUUUGCGCGGAGAAUUUAACGGGGCUAAACCUGACACCGAAGCUUAGGCAAUACAGCAAUGUAUUGGGUAGGGGAGCGUUGUAUACGCGGUGAAACAGUAGCGCAAGCGGCUGUGGAGUGUAUAGAAGUGAGAAUGCCGGAAUGAGUAGCGCGAAUGCAGUGAGAAUCUGCAUGGCCGAAAGCCUCAGGUUUCUGGAGGAAGGUUCGUCCGCUCCAGGUUAGUCGGGAGCUAAGGUGAGGCCUAACGGCGUAGCCGAUGCACAGACGGUAGAGAUUCCGUCACCACCAAAAGAGUUAAACACAGGGACACAUUUGAAGUCUCGGAGCCGGGUGUUGGUUCCGGUAGCGAUCGAGGGAAGUUAGUACCGAAGUCCGGGAUGGAAGAUGGCGAGAAAAGCUGUGUGUAUUUCUGCGGUGCCCGUACCGCAAACCGACACAGGUAGGUAGGAAGAAGAUUCUAAGGCCAACGGGAGAAGGGUUGUUAAGGAACUCGGCAAAUUGACCCCGUAACUUCGGGAGAAGGGGUGCUCCAGAGAUGGAGCCGCAGAGAAUCGGCCCAAGCAACUGUUUACCAAAAACACAGGUUUGUGCUAAAUCGAAAGAUGACGUAUACGAGCUGACGCCUGCCCGGUGCUGGAAGGUUAAGAGGAGAUGUGCAAGCAUUGAAUCGAAGCCCCAGUGAACGGCGGCCGUAACUAUAACGGUCCUAAGGUAGCGAAAUUCCUUGUCAGGUAAGUUCUGACCCGCA